UAAAAUGUUUUAAAUGAUUUUGCACUACUUUCUAUUAAAUAUUCAAAAAGGCUGUCAAGAGACUGUCAUGAGACUGUCAGUUUUUUAGAACAGUUUAGAGCUUUCAUUUACUAACACAUAUAAACAAUAACAAAGGCACAUCGGAGCCAUGUCAUAACAAAGCCGAUUGUUGAUAUUGCUAUGUUAAAUUUGAUGUGAGUUUUGUGGAUUUUCAUUUCAAUUUAAAAAAUAUAAAAUUGCGUUUUUUCCAUAUGUUGUUGCAGGAUUAUCUUACUAAAAUAGGUAUUAUUUAUCAAAAUAAAUUAUAAAA